ensembl:misc_RNA Metazoa_SRP Metazoan signal recognition particle RNA
GCUGGGUGUGGUGGUGCAUGCCUGUGAUCCCAGCUACUGAGGAGGCUGAGGCAGGAGGAUCACUUGAGUCCAGGAAGUCAAGGCUGCGGUGAGUGGUGAUUCUGCCACUGCAUUCCAGCCUGGGCCACAGAGUGAGACCCUGUCUCAA